CACGUAGGGGGCGAGCGUUGUCCGGAUUUAUUGGGCGUAAAGAGCUCGUAGGCGGCUCAGUAAGUCAGGUGUGAAAACUCCAGGCUCAACCUGGAGACGCCACUUGAUACUGCUGUGGCUAGAGUCCGGUAGGGGAGCAUGUAAUUCCUGGUGUAGCGGUGAAAUGCGCAGAUAUCAGGAGGAACACCAGUAGCGAAGGCGGUGCUCUGGGCCGGAACUGACGCUGAGGAGCGAAAGCGUGGGGAGCAAACAGG
rnacentral:rRNA from 1 species